UACGUAGGGUGCAAGCGUUAAUCGGAAUUACUGGGCGUAAAGCGUACGCAGGCGGCUUUGCAAGACAGGUGUGAAAUCCCCGGGCCUAACCUGGGAACUGCAUUUGUGACUGCAUGGCUAGAGUUUGUCAGAGGGGGGUGGAAUUCCACGUGUAGCAGUGAAAUGCGUAGAUAUGUGGAGGAAUACCGAUGGCGAAGGCAGCCCCCUGGGAUAACACUGACGCUCAUGCACGAAAGCGUGGGGAGCAAACAGG
rnacentral:rRNA from 1 species